rnacentral:rRNA from 1 species
UACAGAGGUCCCGAGCGUUAGGCGGAAUCACUGGGCUUAAAGCGUGUAUAGGCGGAUUGGUAAGUACUUUGUGAAAUCCCACGGCUUAACCGUGGAACUGCUUGGUAUACUGCCAGUCUUGAGCCAGCUAGGGGCUACCGGAACAAAUGGUGGAGCGGUGAAAUGCGUAGAUAUCAUUUGGAACGCCAAUGGUGAAAACAGGUAGCUGGGGCUGUGCUGACGCUGAGACACGAAAGCCAGGGGAGCAAACGGG